UUAACACAUUUCUCUAUUGAUUUUAGAUGCUCCCAAGAACACCUCAGUAUCAGUGAGCCCCUCUGGUGAAAUAGUGGAGGGCAGUUCAGUGACUCUGACCUGCAGCAGUGAUGCCAACCCACCAGUGCAGAACUACACCUGGUUUAAGAAGAAUGACACUGGAGUCUGGCAGGCAGGAUCCGGACGGAGUUUGAACUUUUCUAACUUUAGAUUCUGGAACAGAGGACAGUACUACUAUGAGGCACGGAAUAAACAUGGAGGUCAGAAUUCUACUGCUGCGUCAAUCAACACAGAAGUAGGGGAUAGGACAGUGCUUGUGUGGACGGUUGUUGGAAUCACAGUGGCUGUUGCACUCGUUGCUGCUGUUGCGUGUAUGAGAGCAGAGCCUUCAGAGAGUGACAAACGCAGCCAGCGACACAAACUCUGUGCAUCAGAGAGCUGACGAGGCCUCAGUGUGGGAUUAAAACACACAGAGGAGAGAAUCUGCAGAGAAUGAGAAAUGGUGGAGAUCAGGGUGAAAGAGUCUCUUUUUGUUUUUAACUUUACAGAACUGCUGUCUGUUUCUGCUAGAUUAUCCAUUUUAUAAAGAGCUGUUGGUGGAGGAUUUUUCCCAAAGUACUGUAACCCUGCUGCAACAUGCAUGUUCAUGUAACCCUGCUGCAACAUGCAUGUUCAUGUAACCCUGCUGCAACAUGCAUGUUCAUGUAACCCUGCUGCAUACAUGCUCCUGUGACACCGUUACACGUUUAUAUAACCCUGUUACACACACACUCAUAACUCAUGUACAUGCACAUGUAUUCUCUCAC